AGCCUGAACGCUGGCGGCGUGGCUAAGACAUGCAAGUCGUACGGAUGUAGCAAUACAUCAGUGGCGAACGGGUGAGUAAUGUAUCGCUAAUGUGCCCCGGAUUCUGGGAUAGCUAUCCGAAAGGGUAGGUAAUACCAGAUGAUAUAACUUUGUCGCAUGGCAGAGUUCUCAAAGGAGUAAUCCGCUCUGGGAGCAGGCGAUAUCGUAUCAGCUAGUUGGUGAGGUAACGGCUCACCAAGGCGACGACGCGUAGCCGGACUGAGAGGUUGGCCGGCCACAUUGGGACUGAGACACUGCCCAGACUCCUACGGGGGGCUGCAGUAACGAAUCUUCCGCAAUGCACGAAAGUGUGACGGAGCGACGCCGCGUGUGGGACGAAGCCCUUCGGGGUGUAAACCACUGUCAGGGGUUAGAAAGUUCUGAUCAACCCCAGAGGAAGGCACGGCUAACUCUGUGCCAGCAGCCGC
rnacentral:rRNA from 1 species